rnacentral:sRNA from 1 species
AAGUCUCUCUCUCUCUCUCUCUCUCUCUCUGCUCUAU